GGUAUCUGCAACAUAAUGAAGAACAUGAAAGUAUAAUCAGCCCCUAGCAGAAAUGCAUGAGAGUGAACUGCUGUUUACCCAGGAAGUGUCACCUAUAAGUCAUCCAGCAUCUAGUAAUGCUCCCUUCCAACAGCUUUGACAUAAAGCAUCAUACAAGUUCAACAGGAUAAUGAAAUGAAGGGAACUGUUCAGUAGAAUCUAAAGUUUAAGAAGAGCUAGUUGUGGCUGCCCAGUUGCUAAGCAGAGCCAGAAGCAAUACAAUAUUCCGAACUUUUCAAAAUGAAGGAGCAUAUUGUUAAAUAAAUAAUGAAUUGACAAGUACUGCAAGUGAAGAAAAAAGCAAUAUCAAACUCACUUCUUUAUUUUGUCUUUUAGAGUUCCUAUCAAUUCCAGUGGUGUCUUGAAAUCAAUAGAGAACUCAAGGGAAUCACCCAUGUCAGGGCUUCUAUAAAAAUUGCUGAUUGGCUUGGAAGCCAAAACAGAA